CAAUAGCGUAUAUUAAAGUUGUUGCAGUUAAAAAGCUCGUAGUUGGAUUUCUGGGAGGGUGCCAAUGUCCGCUGAGGCGUGUGCAGCGGCGCCCUUCCAUCCUUCUGUUAACGUUUCAUGGUAUUCAGUUACUGGUUUCGGGCUCAGAUAUUUUACCUUGAGAAAAUUAGAGUGUUUCAGGCAGGCUUGCGCCGGAAUACAUUAGCAUGGAAUAAUAGAAUAGGACUUUAGUCUCUUUUGUUGGUUUGAGGGGCUGAAGUAAUGAUUAAUAGGGAUAGUUGGGGGCAUUAGUAUUUAAUUGUCAGAGGUGAAAUUCUCGGAUUUGUUAAAGACUAACUUAUGCGAAAGCAUUUGCCAAGGAUGUUUUCAUUA
rnacentral:rRNA from 1 species